GACAAUCAGACCCGCUUCAUUCUGUCCGCCUUUGCCUAGGACCCCGGUUCUGAGGUCGCCCGGUACGACCUCAAGCCCCCGCAGCGACCGGGCUGCCUACAGAGAUUCCCUGGAAAUGGCCUAACUCUUGGAGGCAGCGCUAACGGAGACCUAAGGGCCUAGGCCAGGCCGAAAGCCAAGGCGGAGCCCGGGACGCCCUUGGAGGUUAAUCCGCUGGAUACGAAGGGCUGCGAGAAGCUGAGAGACGGCAAUGAGGUGGGGCAUGGGAGGACGGCGGGGUGACCUUUCCCACUCGGCUCCCCGGACCCGAGCCAGUUCCUAGAGGACCUCUGCGGGACCCUUCGCCCGUCCCACGAAGCCCCGCAGAAACCCGCUACUCACCCCCCCAGCAGAAGAGCGGCCGCAAGAGGCCCUAGCAGCCUCAUACAGGAAGGAAACGCCGCCUGGGAAAGAACGCUUCCGGGGGGAGUCGCGGCCCGCCCCCUCGCAAGGAGCAUGCGCCACCGCGGUCGAAGGCUUGGAGGGGCGCGUUUCCGGGUUUUGGAAGUGGUGCGGGGUACUCGGCGGGAGCGAGGUCACGCUCCAGAUUCCUAACCUGCUAUCUGCUGGGCGGAGCCUCUGAGUUUAGCUGAGCCUCGGAGAUGGAAUUGGGGCAGGCGCUUGUCACAUAAAGUCCGUGCCCUGCUCGCGGGCUCCUGUCGCAACACUGACAAACCCGGGAGCCUUCGUGAGAAUGCAAAAAUGAGAGAUGAGGCACCAGAGGUCCCCAGGGCGCAAAUCUGAAAGCCAGCGCCUCCUGAGCACAGGCUGCCAGGGGCGAGACGACAUUAGACAUUGCCCCCAGAUAUAAGAAGCAUCACUUCCUUCAGACAGAGCAGAUUGAUAGAUGAAGCAUAAAACAAGACCAGAUGCUGUGGUUUCCAGGAUGCACUUGGCUUCCCAUCCUUUAUUACCUGGAGCAUUUUUUGCCGUCUGUUCCUGAUGUGUCCACCGGAGACCAGUCCCAUUAGGUAUCCAUAAGGUUUAAGACCAUGGACAUUGCAACCCAACAGACUUGGCUUUAGAUGUAAGAUCUGUUAUUUACUAGCUCUGUGACUUUGGGCAAGUUAUUAAGCUCUGUAAGCCUCAAGUUCCUCACCUUUAAUGCAGGGACAAAAGCGGUACUCACACCAUGGAGUUGCACUGAGAAUUAAAUGAGACAGUGCAUGGCAAGUGCUGAGCUCUAUGCCUGGCACUUAGCAAGUGCUCAAUAAACAUGCCAUUGUAAUACCUCAGAUGUUAUUUUCAUUAUACUAUGAAGUGAUAUUCUGUCAUUUCCAGAAGCCCUGUAUGGACAAAGAUUCCUUCAUAUCUCCUUAGUGUUUGCAUGAGGACUUCACCUCUCAAGUUGUCAACUGUGGCAUCUUGUCUGGGAAUGUUUAUCUUCUCUGACUUGUGAAGAGGCUAUGCCUCUGUCUCUUUGAACUCUUAGUUCUCUCAUUCUCAGUUUUAAUACACUCCUCUGAGUGAGUCUUACUGAUUAGUAUUCUAUAAACCAUUAGUGAUAGUUAUAUAAAACCUGUAAGAUUCCAUCCUUGUGACCCCCCCCAGACAAAUAAGUUUAAAAUAUUGGUCAAUCCAUGAAAACGACUAUCUGGAUAUUUCUCAGUUCACUGAAGACCAUCAUUAAUAUUGGCUGUUGUUCCCAUUCUGUCUAAUAACAGCCAUUUAUUGAGCUUACAGUUCUUGCUCUCAUGGAGUUCUGAAGACUCAAAUGUCUUGUGAAAAUGCAAGUCUUCAUAGAACUAUUGUUUUUUUUAAGGUAGAGGUUUAACCUACCUUUCAUCUCCAUUCAUUAUUUGUUUUGGGAAAACUUCCUUACUUAGAUUGCCGAGUGACUUUUGCACAGAAGAAAGAAAUUAGUUCAACGGAUGAAAGUAAUUAGUUCAAUGGAUGAAAGUGAGAUGCUAAACCAGAUUUGAGAUUUUAGAGGUCAAUCCUUUGCAUGUCUUAUAAUUUCUUUGCAAACUACAACCUUUUUGUAACCCUUGAGGACUAUCUUAACAUCAGAGCUGCUAUUCUUCAUACAAUAUUUAAUUCCUUUGAACAUAACAUGUUUUUAAAAAAAUAUUUACUAUGUGCAACUCGUGGAAAUGCUCCUAAAAUUGAGGGAGUUCUACUGAGCAAAAGAAAUGGAAUAUCCUGUAUAGAGACUGAGUGCAUGGCUUCCAAAGGCAAAGGCAAGGGCAGAACUUGCUAAUGUUAGAUGUUUAGGGAUGAAAUGUCUACUAGACCUUGUUUCUUCUUAGAGAGACCCAACAGUAGCGUACUAGCAAGCUACUGUUAAAUUUGCCCUCCCCACCUGUUUAUUGCCAGCAUUUCUGGAAACAGAAAAACAAAACAAAGGGGUAAGGAAAAAAAAAAGCAAAGUCUGCAUGUAACUUGAGUUAGAGAAGUGCAGGAAACAAAUCAAGUAUACUAAGUUAGCAGUGCUUAAAGUCCCAUUCAACUUCAGAAUAGUAUACCUGGUAGAGUUCCACAAACCUUUCUCCUUUCUAGCCUGCUGCUUAUUAAGUUUAAAUGCCAGAACCAUUCUGAGAGCUCUGAAUGCCCAUAUGAGGCCUAGAGCCAGAGACAUGCCCCACACCCAUUUCUUUAUAUUUUCUGAAUUCCCAGGUAAACGAGAGAUCAGAAAAAGGGACAGUAAAGGAAAGGAGACAAAGAGGUCAACUCCCCAACAGUGUCUUCUUCCCCUUUGGUGUUUUGCAAAAAGCUGAAGAGAUGCUAUAAUGAUUCUUUAACCAACUGAAAGCAGCGUUAGAAUUCUGUCUAGAUAUUCUUGAACCUCUGGCUGGGCAGUGUUCCACCUUCCACACUCCAGUCCAUCCAUCAUUCAAUACUACUUAUGCUAGAUAAACUGGCUUGCCAUAGUUUAUUAUCAUGUUGUCCUCACAGACUAGUAUUCAAGGAGCCUCCCCUGACCACUUUCUUGGGACUCUUGGAAGUAAACAGAGAAACAGUUUAAAUGAAUGGUAAAAACCCAUGUAGGGCUUCCCUGGUGGUGCAGUGGUUGAGAGUCUGCCUGCCGAUGCAGAGGACACGGGUUCGUGCCCCGGUCCGGGAGGAUCCCA